ACCAUAGAUACUUUUUAACUGUACAACUACAGGUUAUUGUAGAAUUUUAAGACGGCGUUGACACAGACUUUUUAGAUAGCAAAGAGAGGGCCACCAAAUCAAUUUAAAAUGUCCCAACUGCGGACACCGUAAUUACGUAGGUGUGGAAGAGACAAUGUAAGAAAACAGAUUGAAUUCAGAGGUAUAGAAGCGAAACGAAAUUUAUGAAACAAUUUUAAUUAAUUAAUUUUGUAAAAUCGGUAGAUCCUGCGACGUCCCAAGUAUUGUAUUUUAAAUAUUCCUUUCGUUCGUAAGGAAGCCCAUUCAGCCAUUCUAGAGCGCUUUAGAGCAAGAUAUAAUAGAUUUCCAAGCAGGCGGCGGGCGGUGUAUGAAAGUAUGAUAUGUCGGGAGCUUUAAGUUCUAUAGGAUGUCGACGUAUAAAGCUCUCGGGCAAUAGCUUAUUUGAUGUGAC